GGGGAAUCUUGCACAAUGGGGGCAACCCUGAUGCAGCGACGCCGCGUGAGCGAUGAAGCCCUUCGGGGCGUAAAGCUCUUUCGACCGGAACGAUAAUGACGGUACCGGGAGAAGAAGCUGCGGCUAACUACGUGCCAGCAGCCGCGGUAAUACGUAGGCAGCAAGCGUUGUUCGGAGUUACUGGGUGUAAAGAGUGCGUAGGCGGUUUUCUAAGUUCGGUGUGAAAUCUCCCGGCUUAACUGGGAGGGUGCGCCGAAGACUGGGAAGCUGGAGUGUGGGAAAGGCAGGCGGAAUUCCUGGUGUAGCGGUGAAAUGCGUAGAUAUCAGGAGGAACACCGGCGGUGUAGACGGCUUGCUAGACCAUAACUGACGCUGAGGCACGAAAGCGUGGGUAGCAAACA
rnacentral:rRNA from 1 species